rnacentral:rRNA from 1 species
AGAGUUUGAUCCUGGCUCAGGAUAAACGCUGGCGGCGUGCCUAAUGCAUGCAAGUCGAACGGGGUAGCCUUCGGGCUACUGAGUGGCGGACGGGUGAGGAACACGUACGAGACCUGCCCUCCGGUGGGGAAUAAGCCCUCGAAAGGGGGUCUAAUGCCGCAUACGGUCGGGAGCAGCAAGGCUUCUGAGGAAAGCUUUAG